GACUUCUGAGAGCUGAGCAGAGCCCCUUACCAUAUCCACAUAUUGGCUUCUACUCUCCUCAUUCAUAUAGACUGAAACAUCACGUUCAAAUUCUGAGUUGAAGGUUUUCCAGACACUUUUCUCCUCAGUGACUAUCUUGCAGCUCAUUCUCAAAGUCCCAUGCCAUGAUGACUGACCUUCUGGUGGAGGAGGAUUGGUGCAGUUCCCCAUAGAGCCCAUCAACACAAUUCCUGAAUGAGCUAGAUGUCUGGCAGGUCUUCAGUUUCUAUCCGUGAUGAACAGAAGUCACAUGGGGUAUGUCUACCUGGCAGUUAAACACCUACGGUUGACCUGUGUCAUCUGGCUCAGGCUGCAGGCUGUAAAAAUGCGAUAUAGAUGCUCAGGCUGGGGCCCAAACUCUGAGACCCCACAAGUGGGGAGGAGCCCAGGCUGCAGCCCGAGGCCAAAUGUCUACCCUGCAAUUUUACAGCCCCACAGCCUGAGCUCUGCAAGCCCGAGACAGAUGACAUGGGCCAGCCACUGGUGUUUAAUUGCUGUGUAGACAUACCUUAAAGUCCAGAGUCUUAGCUUCAAGUGAUCCCAACCUAUCCGCCUGUAUCCAAAAAUUCCAUUCAUAUCUGGUUUUCAGCUUGCAUCUCGCACAGUUAUAUUCUCUUGGGAUUGAAGCCUGAGGGGCACAUUAGGGCUUACUUAUUUCGGACUACAGCAGCAUCAAUGAACAAUCUCUUUCCAUCCUACCAGGCGUGGUUUGCAAGGCAUUCACUUCUCCCAUUCUUAUCACAGUACAGCAUCACUAAGGGGUUAAGCUUUCUUUUCCUGUUUCUCCCUCUUCACUGGCACACUUUCGUACAUGCUCUUCACAUCCUCCUAAGCUAACAUAUGGGGGUUUUAAUCCUUUUUUUCUUUAACCUGCUAUCUAGUGUGUCAGCUCUGUUUCAUCUUCAUAGAGCUAAUGCUAGCUCUUUUAAAAAAAAAAAAAAUGAAUGAUUGCAGUGCUUGUGCAAAUUGCUAGAUCGACAGCUAUACACUGAGCACAUGGAUAAUGGCAGUGCAAAUUUUCCAACACCAUCUUGCAAGUGUCCCCCAACCCUGACCUGCAGGUUCAGAGGAGAGUUCUGGCUCACUGUACAUUUAAUCCUUGGCCUCUGUGUUAGAGAUGCUCAUUGUGAUAUGGAGACAUACAUGUAUCAGACAGCAGGAAUCACACUGCUUUCAUAGAGGUCACCUAAUAGCCAGCUGACAAUAACACAUUUCGGUCACUAUCAGCUUCAGCUAGAUUUGAACUAGCAACUAAGGCCUUGUCUUCAUUGCU